rnacentral:rRNA from 1 species
AGGACGAACGCUGGCGGCGUGCUUCAUACAUGCAAGUCGAACGAGAAGCUGACUUCGGUCAGUGGAAAGUGGCGGACGGGUGAGUAAUAUGUAGGAAAUCUGCCCUAGAGAGGGGGACAACAGAGGGAAACUUCUGCUAAUACCCCAUAUGAGCUUAGUUGAAAUACUAAUCUUGAAAACUCCGGUGCUCUAGGAUGAGCCUGCAUCUGAUUAGCUAGUUGGCGGUGUAAUGGACCACCAAGGCGACGAUCAGUAGCUGGUUUGAGAGGAUGAUCAGCCACAAUGGGACUGAGACACGGCCCAUACUCCUACGGGAGGCAGCAGUAGGGAAUUUUGCGCAAUGGGCGAAGGCCUUGACGCAGCAACGCCGCGUGAACGAUUAAGCCCUUCGGGGUGUAAAGUUCUGUCAGUAGGGACGAAACUUGACGGUACCUACAGAGGAAGCACCGGCUAACUCCGUGCCAGCCGCUGC